GAUGAACGCUGGCGGCGUGCCUAAUACAUGCAAGUCGAGCGAACAGACGAGGAGCUUGCUCCUCUGACGUUAGCGGCGGACGGGUGAGUAACACGUGGAUAACCUACCUAUAAGACUGGGAUAACUUCGGGAAACCGGAGCUAAUACCGGAUAACAUGUUGAACCGCAUGGUUCAACAGUGAAAGACGGUCAUGCUGUCACUUAUAGAUGGAUCCGCGCCGCAUUAGCUAGUUGGUAAGGUAACGGCUUACCAAGGCAACGAUGCGUAGCCGACCUGAGAGGGUGAUCGGCCACACUGGAACUGAGACACGGUCCAGACUCCUACGGGAGGCAGCAGUAGGGAAUCUUCCGCAAUGGGCGAAAGCCUGACGGAGCAACGCCGCGUGAGUGAAGAAGGUCUUCGGAUCGUAAAACUCUGUUAUUAGGGAAGAACAAAUGUGUAAGUAACUAUGCACGUCUUGACGGUACCUAAUCAGAAAGCCACGGCUAACUACGUG
rnacentral:rRNA from 1 species